CUAGAGACUUCCAGAGUGGCAAAAUCGAGCUUGUUCAAGUUUGACAUGUCCCUAAAAUGGAGGGUACAACAAAACAUGGUUAGUCAUAUGGUAAUCCAUAGACAUACAUUGUAGAGCAUUCGGGUUUUAUAGACAUGUAUUGAUUUAAUUUAAGCAUGAAAGCUACAGGUUUCAUGUGGUAAGUUUUGAAUGAAAACUUCGGGUUUCAAAGGCACUAAAUAUGAAAAUACGGGUUCAAUUUAGUUUUAUGAACGAUUAGUUCAUAAAGAAGAGGUUCUUGCAAGAACAUAGAUUACAAUAUGUUGAUUGAAGUGUAAUAGAUUUGAGUUGCUUUGGGAAAUCAAGUGUGAGAGCUUCGGGACUAUGACAGGAUGUCAACGGUUCAAAGUAGAAAAAUAAAUUAUCGAAUCGUUAAUGUCCGAAAGUGAUCUUCAGGUCAAUAAUUUUGGAUUAAUUAUCAGAUUAAUGGACUACAUGUCACUUUUAAUUAAUUCAAUAGAUUGGGACCAAAUGGGGUCGAUUGUGGAAGCAAAAUAAUGACAAACGGGUCAUAUUACAGGCUAGUUGUGGUGGUCGUGCCGCGUAAUUCCCAUAUUUAAUUUUUUUUUUUUCGACAUCUUUAGGGUUUGAAAAACCCUUAAUUGCUUCUAAUUUAUCUAUAUGCUUUGACUCACAAAUUUCACAUAGCAAAAUCAUUGCGUAAUGCAUGAAACGUAUAUAUUGACAAAUAUAUGAAUCAUAUACAAUAUAUAUAUCAGAAGGCAAAUAUAAAUAUAGGGGGUUCAUGCAUUAUGAGAAAUGUUUUCAUGCUUCGUGGACGUUUCAAAUAUCUUACUUUAUUUAAGCAUACCUGAUUGGCAGAAAACAAAUAAAUGCCUUUGAAUUUUGUAGAA
rnacentral:lncRNA from 1 species